rnacentral:rRNA from 1 species
CCCUUAGAUGUUCUGGGCAGCACGCGCGCUACAAUGGUCUUCGCAAACGGAUGCAUUCUCGAAGGAGAAAGCCAAUCUUGGAAUCUAUGCCUUGGUCGGGACAGUUGCUUGCAAUUUUUCGACUCGAACCAGGAAUUCCUUGUAAUCGUGAUUCAUCACAUCACGAUGAAUACGUCCCUGCCCUUUGUACACACCGCCCGUCGCUCCUACCGAUCGAAGAGUUAGGUGAAUUGUUUUGAUCGAUAAGAUUUGACUAUGGUCAACUCUCGUUGUGAAAUUCUGUGAAUCUGACUGUUUAGAGGAAGGAAAAGUCGUAACA